UACGUAGGGGGCAAGCGUUGUCCGGAUUUAUUGGGCGUAAAGAGCGUGUAGGCGGCCAUACAGGUCAGCUGUGAAAACUCGAGGCUCAACCUCGAGACGUCGGUUGAAACCGUAUGGCUGAGUCCGGAAGAGGAGAGUGGAAUUCCCGGUGUAGCGGUGAAAUGCGCAGAUAUCGGGAAGAACACCUAUGGCGAAGGCGGCUUCCUGGCCUGUUCUUGACGCUGAGACGCGAAAGCUAGGGGAGCAAACGGG
rnacentral:rRNA from 1 species